AGCAGCCGCGGUAAUUCCAGCUCCAAUAGCGUAUAUUAAAGUUGUUGCAGUUAAAAAGCUCGUAGUUGAAUUUUAGGCCUGACCGGACGGUCCGUCUCUGGCGAGUACUGUUCUGCUGUCGGGUCUAUCCUUCUGGUGAGCCGGUAUGCCCUUUAUUGGGUGUGUCGGGGAACCAGGACCAUUACCUUGAAAAAUUAGAGUGUUUAAAGCGGGCUUUUGCUUGAAUAGAUUAGCAUGGAAUAAUAGAAUAGGACGUUGGUUCUAUUUUGUUGGUCUAGGACCACCGUAAUGAUUAAUAGGGAUAGUUGGGGGCAUUAGUAUUCAAUUGUCAGAGGUGAAAUUCUUGGAUUUAUUGAAGACUAACUACUGCGAAAGCAUUUGCCAAGGAUGUUUUCAUUAAUCAAGAACGAAAGUUAGGGGAUCGAAGACGAUCAGAUACCGUCGUAGUCU
rnacentral:rRNA from 1 species